UGGGGAAUAUUGGACAAUGGGCGCAAGCCUGAUCCAGCCAUGCCGCGUGAGUGACGAAGGCCUUAGGGUUGUAAAGCUCUUUUGGCGGGGAAGAUAAUGACGGUACCCGCAGAAUAAGCUCCGGCUAACUUCGUGCCAGCAGCCGCGGUAAUACGAAGGGAGCUAGCGUUGUUCGGAAUCACUGGGCGUAAAGCGCACGUAGGCGGAUGUGUCAGUCAGGGGUGAAAUCCCGGAGCUCAACUUCGGAACUGCCCUUGAUACAGCACGUCUUGAGUCCGAUAGAGGUGGGUGGAAUUCCUAGUGUAGAGGUGAAAUUCGUAGAUAUUAGGAAGAACACCGGUGCGAAGGCGGCCACUGGAUCGGUACUGACGCUGAGGUGCGAAAGCGUGGGGAGCAAACAGGAUUAGAUACCCCGGUAGUCCCUGAGCGGGCUGGCAAGGCGCAU
rnacentral:rRNA from 1 species